rnacentral:rRNA from 1 species
AUUGAACGCUGGCGGCAUGCUUUACACAUGCAAGUCGAACGGUAACAGGCCUUCGGGUGCUGACGAGUGGCGAACGGGUGAGUAAUGCAUCGGAACGUACCCAGAGGUGGGGGAUAACGCAGCGAAAGCUGUGCUAAUACCGCAGGUGAUCUGAGGAUGAAGACGGGGGACCGCGCAGCAAUGUUUGGACUCGCGCCUUUGGAGCGGCCGAUGUGGGAUUAGCUAGUUGGAGGGGCAAAGGCCUACCAAGGCAACGAUCCGUAGCUGGACUGAGAGGACGAGCAGCCACACUGGAAGUGGCACACGGCUCAGACUCCUACGGAAGACACCAGAGGGGAUUUUACGAAACUGGACACAGGCCUACUCCAGCCAUGCCGCGUGCGGGAAGAGGGCCUUCGGGUUGUAAACCGCUUUUGGCAGGAACGAAACGGUGUCCGAUAACACCGGCGCUAAUGACGGUACCUGCAGAAUAAGCACCGGCUAGCUACGUG